CACUGCUGCUGCUCUACAACACGAUUGGACUUUUCCUCCACCGCAAAUCCUCUCAGAUUUCUCCAUGUGAAACAAACAGAAGCAGAAGAAAUCUGUACAUUUAUUAUAUAAAACUGAACCCCUGGUGCCUGGCACAGCACCUAAGAAGAAUUAAGCCUUCAAACAGGUAUUAAAUAAAUGGAAGAAAUCAUGGCUCUGUCGCUGUCCAGUAGAGAGCAUCUAAGAUAUCUUGUCCAAACGAGGAGAACAGACGGUCAGCUACCUGCAGAGAGAAAUUGUGGAAGUUUCUUAACUGCUCAUUUAAGUACUUUGCCAGCAACCAGAUGAAAAUCCAUCAUUAGAAACCUGAGUUUUACAAUUCUGGAUGGAAAGCUGAAGAAGAGCAAAGCUUAUCACUUCCUCUACACACUCCUGGCUCAGCUGAGUACUCAAUACACGGGGGACUCAGAAUUGGCCUUGUCAAAUUAGCCAUUUGUAAAA